UGGGUAACCUGCCUCAAAGAGGGGAAUAGCCUCCCGAAAGGGAGAUUAAUACCGCAUAAUAUGUUUAAGUCGCAUGACUUUAACAUCAAGGGAUUUCUUUUAGAAAUUCCACUUUGAGAUGGACCCGCGGCGCAUUAGCUAGUUGGUGAGGUAACGGCUCACCAAGGCAACGAUGCGU
rnacentral:rRNA from 1 species